GACGAACGCUGGCGGCGUGCUUAACACAUGCAAGUCGAACGAAGAGCGAUGGAAGCUUGCUUCUAUCAAUCUUAGUGGCGAACGGGUGAGUAACGCGUAAUCAACCUGCCCUUCAGAGGGGGACAACAGUUGGAAACGACUGCUAAUACCGCAUACGAUCUAAUCUCGGCAUCGAGGAUAGAUGAAAGGUGGCCUCUACAUGUAAGCUAUCACUGGAGGAGGGGAUUGCGUCUGAUUAGCUAGUUGGAGGGGUAACGGCCCACCAAGGCGAUGAUCAGUAGCCGGUCUGAGAGGAUGAACGGCCACAUUGGGACUGAGACACGGCCCAGACUCCUACGGGAGGCAGCAGUGGGGAAUCUUCCGCAAUGGACGAAAGUCUGACGGAGCAACGCCGCGUGAGUGAUGACGGCCUUCGGGUUGUAAAGCUCUGUUAAUCGGGACGAAAGGCCUUCUUGCGAAUAGUGAGAAGGAUUGACGGUACCGGAAUAGAAAGCCACGGCUAACUACGUG
rnacentral:rRNA from 1 species